GAGUAACUUUAUUGAAUAGUAAGAAUACUGGAUGUAAAAGAAGAGACCUUAGGAUAUGAGAACACCAUCAAUACCAUAGCAACUGCAGAGCCUCAGCCGAAGGAAUCCCAGCAAGCACACAUCCUGGAAACUUAGGGUUGUGCACAACACAAUGUGAAAAAUGCUGCUCUAAUAUACCUGUGACAAAAUCUUCAUAGACUAUGAAAUAGUGCAAAGCAGUAGUGGAGGGCCGUAUGCCUGAAGCAGAAGAAUAGAUGCCUAUUUAUUUAUACUUGUAAUAGCUUUGCAAUAAUUACAGUAACCACAGGCAAGUCAUCAGCACCCCCUCUCCUUCGGAUGAAGGCUUUUUGAUAUAAUUUUAAGGUAAAUAAAUUGGUGUGGAGUAUAGUAAUAUCAAAGUAAAAAUCUUUGAUGCAGUUCAUGGUUGGCAGAAUGAAACAGCUGCCAGAGGAAGUGGAUUUUAAAUGUCAGGAUACCACAGCAAUGAUUUUAAAUUUAUUGUCAUUGCAUUUACACUGCCAGGAAAAGGAAAAUGUGUCACUGGGAGCCCUUCUCCUACCAGAAAUUAAAUAACUUGACUGGC